rnacentral:rRNA from 1 species
UCCUACGGGAGGCAGCAGUGAGGAAUAUUGGUCAAUGGGCGGGAGCCUGAACCAGCCAAGUCGCGUGAGGGAAGACGGUCCUACGGAUUGUAAACCUCUUUUGCCGGGGAGCAACGGGGUCCUUGCGAGGGCCCGAUGAGAGUACCCGGAGAAAAAGCAUCGGCUAAAUCCGUGCCAGCAGCCGCGGUAAUACGGAGGCUGCGAGCGUUAUCCGGAUUUAUUGGGUUUAAAGGGUGCGUAGGCGUGCUGUUAAGUCAGCGUGCAAAUGGCGUGGCUCAACC